AAGCCAUGAUGAGGACACUCUAGGAGAAGAUCUUUAAAACGUUCCAUACACCUAGAAAAUGAUUCAUUUUGUCUUUGACGAAACUGGAGAGUGUCGUUCCUAAGUUU
rfam:Cephalotus follicularis DNA, scaffold: scaffold4447, isolate: St1.